rnacentral:lncRNA from 1 species
UAGUACACGCUUUAGGUUUCUAUCAACACAUGUAAUACAAUGUUUGUAUCGGGAUAAAACAACGGGCUGAGAUCUACUGUUUUGGUCCCAUUCCCAUCAUCGAGAGAGAUUCAUGGUUUCUUGCUUUGUCAAAUCCAAAAGAUACACUAAAAGUUAUAGUAAUAUGAUCUAACUUGUAAAUCUACAGACAUUAUUGAGAAAACAAAACUUGUAUAUCAACGUUGUUAGUUGAGGUUCACCAUUCUCUUUUACUGCGGAGCCAUCAAAGCUAGUACUGUUCGCCAUUCUCUUUUGUUUAACUUCUUGCCUACCCUAUCCUUUAAUUCAUUAAUAGAUUAUUAUUAUAAGUGUUAACAUAUUGUUUAAAAUGUGGUUUCAUGAGAACGCCUAACUAAACGCAUUGAAUUCAAUCCAAAAGGGUCAUAAGAAGGAUUUACUAUUUGUCAAAGUUAUAGGCCCGUGCCGGUCCCGCGCUUUUCCACA